rnacentral:lncRNA from 1 species
UUACUUAAAAUAUGCUUCUUUUAUUUAUAAAAUCGUAAAAAUACAAUGCAUAGCAGCAUCAAGAAAAAUGUGAAAGCAUUUACUGAAAUUUCUUGUAUUAUAUUACUUCUAAAGGAAUUUGCAUGCCCCACACCGGAUCACCUAGCUCCAAAGCUCACUGUUCUAGAUCCCUCAUAUAUCUCUUUUAGAUGGGAAACUUCAAUGGUACUCGAAGGGGAAAAUGAGAGAGCACAAGUAAGAGUUGUAUGUCAUGUAGACACACUGCACCAUUACACCAUAAGAUGAAAACUAGGGUUUUUCUUGUUCGGGUUGCCACAUUUGGGGCUUUUACUUGAAGCGUUGUACCCCCUCUGGGCAUGAGAGAGAAAAGAAAGGGUACAUGAGGGAGAAAAGACAAACAUGGAGAGUGGGGCGUGUGGGGUAGAGAGAGG